CCUACGGGAGGCUGCAGUGGGGAAUAUUGCACAAUGGGGGAAACCCUGAUGCAGCAACGCCGCGUGAAGGAAGAAGGUUUUCGGAUCGUAAACUUCUAUCAGCAGGGAAGAAGGAAGUGACAGUACCUGACUAAGAAGCCCCGGCUAACUACGUGCCAGCAGCCGCGGGAAUACGUAGGGGGCAAGCGUUAUCCGGAAUCACUGGGUGUAAAGGGUGCGUAGGCGGUAGGGCAAGUCAGAGGUGAAAACCCGGGGCUCAACCCCGGGAUUGCAUUUUAAACAGUCUUACUAGAGUGAAGGAGAGGAAAGCGGAAUUGGUAGUGGAGCGGGGAAGUGCGUAGAUAUUAGGAAGAACACCAGAGGCGAAGGCGGCUUUCUUGACUGUAGCUGACGCUGAGGCACGAAGGCGUGGGGAGCGAACAGGAUGAGAUACCCCGGUAGUC
rnacentral:rRNA from 1 species